rnacentral:rRNA from 1 species
AUUGAACGCUGGCGGUAUGCCUUACACAUGCAAGUCGAACGGUAGAGGGGCAACCCUUGAGAGUGGCGAACGGGUGAGUAAUACAUUGGAACGUGCCCAGUCGUGGGGGAUAACGUAACGAAAGCUACGCUAAUACCGCAUACGACCUGAGGGUGAAAGCGGGGGAUCGCAAGACCUCGCGCGAUGGGAGCGGCCGAUGGCAGAUUAGGUAGUUGGUGGGGUAAAGGCCUACCAAGCCUGCGAUCUGUAGCUGGUCUGAGAGGACGACCAGCCACACUGGGACUGAGACACGGCCCAGACUCCUACGGGAGGCAGCAGUGGGGAAUUUUGGACAAUGGGCGAAAGCCUGAUCCAGCCAUACCGCGUGCGGGAAGAAGGCCUUCGGGUUGUAAACCGCUUUUGUCAGGGAAGAAAUCAUCUGGGUUAAUACCUCGGGAGGAUGACGGUACCUGAAGAAUAAGCACCGGCUAACUACGUGCCAGCAGCCGCAGUAA